CCGAAAUUUACUAAGACUAUGCACAUGACAUCGGGUCAUCAUCUUCCAUCAUUUUCAUUCUGUUUCACUAAACUAUUGGAAGUUCGUGCCGUGUCCAAAUCCUGAUAAAUAGAAGUCUGCAGAGGAGGGUCGUAUUGUCAUCUCCCUUGGCUUAGCUCUUAACUGGUACAGAAAGUAUCUGUGUAUCAGAAACAGCGUUGCAAAUUACAAGAAAUAAAUCAGUCUCCCGGGAAUAUUCCCAGGCAGACCUCUCCUGUUCUACACAAGAAGCUCAUCAACACUUCAGGAGAGACGAAGGCAAGAGGAGGAGACAGAAACACAGUCUCCUUUGAGCAGAGCAGAAGGGGAAAAAGCAGGGUGAGCCGCAUGGCUUCCAUUUGGCACAUCUCUAUCAUUGUCCUUGUACUACUUUUUGGAGGAUCCAAAGCCAAACCAGCUGCACCUCCACAUACUCAGCUGGAAGUAAACCACAAGAAGCCAUUACAGACAUUUAGACCUUAUAACAUUGCCCAUAGAGGGUCAAAUGGUGAAUUACCUGAGGAAACAUCGGCGGCCUACUUGAGGGCUAUCGAAGAAGGUUCAGACUUCAUUGAGACUGAUAUACUUGCGUCAAAGGAUGGACAUCUGAUAUGUUUUCAUGGUGUAACAUUGGAUGCAACAACCGAUGUUGCAAACCGCACGGAGUUUGCUGACAGGAAGGGAACAUAUGAAGUCGAAGGAGAAAAUGUGACUGGAUGGUUCGUUGGUAUGUGAAUAACAUUCUUUGUUGCAAUUCUCAACUUUUGUUCAUGUAAAUCUACUAGUGACUUGUGGAGUAUGUUGUAGGAUUGAUUACUCACUAAUUAGGCAAUGAUUGCGGAAGCUAAAAUCAAUUUUUUUUGUGAUUAAAAAUUCACACUACAUAAAUUCACCAUGAUUUUAAACUUAGUAAAAUCUUAGGAAUAAGAUCUGAUUGGUUUGAAAUGGUGGCAGCGGAAAGUAGACAAAAUGUACAACUAAUGCAACAAGAAUCACGUCAAUCGGAUAUUCGGAUCUUAAGAUAUUCCCCCGAAAGCAAAGAUUGCGUCGGAUGGUGAAAAUAAGAAAACUAUGCAAACCUAAAGAUUAUCAACACAUCAUCUUAAAAUUUUCAUCUUUAUAGCUUGAAUGUUCACAAGAUGCCUCACAAAAAGCACACAAAAUUCUCUAGAAAAAUCCCUAUUUUUCUCUCCUAAAUUUCCCUUUCCUCUUUCUCGAGUUGGGCUCACAACUUGCUUGGGAUGCACCAAACAACAGCCCUAACCCCUACAUUUAUACCCAGGUUAGCCCAUCACCGUAGCCGCCUCGGAUCCGUGGCCCAUACCUAUAGUCCACAUGGAUUCAUGGUCUGAUUCAACUCGGACUUGACCAUCGCCUGGGCCUCGUGACCAUCGCCUGGGCCUCUACACACAUUGGGCUGCACUGCUAUGCACCUCCUGGGCCGUCGGCACUCCUUGGCCCACCAGUGUGCAGCCCACCAAGGCCACUGCCUCGCGACAACCUGCAUGACCAGUCGCCUUGGCCGUCACCCACCUAGGCUGCGACAUUCCUGCCCAGACUACCUGCACGCCUAGGCCAAUCGCCCGACUUGGCUGCCAGGCUGCCUCCAUGACAUUUCUCCCAGUCCCUUCUGCCUGGGCCACUGUCAGGCCGAGAUGCCAACGACUACACCGCCGCCACUGCUUGCCGGCCUGAGCCACCUCAUGUUUAGGCCGGCUCACACACUAGGCCUGUAUGCUCCUGGGCUGAUUUUGUCCUAAGUCUCGUGCUCCUGUAGACUCCAGACCAAGCAUCAUGCUAGGCUUCUAUGCCCCACACUAGGCAAUUUUUUUUUUUACUUUUUUUCAAUAUUUCCAAAACUAGGUGCUCAUUUGAAAUUAUUGCAACUCUAACCUUCUAUCGCCCAUUGGAUGGGUGACAAGAAGGUGUCGCCCAACCAACAUGCGCUAUAAUGCUAGGGUUUGCUGGCUACUGAGUUAGGGUUUCAUCGUCUGUUUUUGGUUUUGCGCCAGAGUUACCGUCGUUCGUCACCAUUCGUUGUUUUCAAAGUAUUUCAAAGUCUGUUGCCAUUCGUUGUUUUCAAAGUAUUUCAAAGUCCAUCGCCAUCUAUUGUUUUUGAGAUAAUUUUAUAUGUGGAAUUGAUAGAUAAGGAUAGUUGAACACAGUAAUUUUAUUCGGAGCAGCCACAAGCACGAUGGCAUGUACAAUACACUAUCAUUCUAACCUAUCAAAUCUACUGAGUGCAACGUGGGUACUUUCCCUUCCUCGUAGCUUUUAGUUCUGCCUCAUGCGCCCGAUGUGCCCUUUCUGCCUCACGGGCCUCCUCCUUCUUGCGGGUUUUCUCCUUCCUUAUCUUCUACUGUUCCUCCUAAAUGCAUUUACACUCAGCCUCCCUCAUCUCAUAAGAUUCCAAAGGAGGCUCGUGCGUGUACCUCAUCAUCGGUGCACGACAUCCACCUCACAUCAUGGACCGUGAGCUCAUCAAACUAGGCUAUGAAGUCCGAGUACACACAGUGUGUCUAGACAUUAGACCAAGUUGGUUGUGUACAAAAUAUUUGUUAGACAUACAAGGUAAUGAAAAAUGUAACGAAUACGUGACAAGUUAAUAUCUCUUACCCACCGUCGGCACCACAAAGACCCCAUGGUGGGCUCGUCAAUGCCAUCUGCUGGAAAGAUGUAUGCGGUGUGGUCUACUACCAGUCGGCUGAUGGUGAACCGCUCAUACGACUACAACUACAGAAGUAGCGAACAACCAGUGAAGAUUGAAUUGGAAUAAACCUUCACAUAGGCCUCACACAAACCCUUGUAGGUAGCAGCAAGAAUAGCUGAAGCCCAACUGUACUGGGGGGCCUCCCCUGGUCUAACGUCUGCUAUCUCCAUGGUGUAUGGGAUCAUGCUCCUCAACGCUGAGUUGUCGUUGGUCUUGGUGAACAUGAUCCACAUGAACAACCAUAUCAAGUACGCCUCCAAGUGCCAUGAGACGUCAUCAUCGCCCACCUCUGGGUGGAUGUUCUACGCCUGUGAAUUACAAAACGUCAAACAAUAAGGCUGUGCUUCUCCGACCCAGGUAUCAUCCUCAAGGGGGCCAGGACGUCCCUCCAAACAAUGGCUUUGAACCAUCAGAGGAACUCCUCAUACCACGUGACUCCUACGUCCCUUGCACCAACUGCAGUGCUCAUGCAAGGUAGGCCUAGCAGGAGAGAGAUGUCCUCAAGCGUUAGCGCCAUCUCAUCGCACGAAGGUGGAAGGUGUGCAUCUCUACACCCCCAAAACCAUGUCCACCUCCACUAGCCUGCACAGUGAGAGAAGCCCAACACCACACAACCUACAACCGAAAUAUAUUAAGAGAAGUAUUUCAAAAAGAAGAUGUAUACGAUGAUAAAGGAAAAUAUUCCAAACCUCAGGAUCCACCGAUCAUCAAGCCUCAUGAGCUCUCCCAGAGCACGGGGUCAUAGUAUUGGGAGCUCCUGAUGAGGACAUCACUCCCUCGGAUACAUACAAUGAUCCUCCAUUGAACCUUCAAGGUCCAAUCACAAGAGCUCGCGCACGACAAUUAAAUUUAGAGGUGAGCUCGUUCCUAAGCAACUCUUUAUAUAAUUUUGAGAAUAGAUUACUACCUAAUGAUUAUGUGUUGUUUAGGAAUUAUGGAGAGGACAAGGAAAUACAUAGAGGAAGGCUUGGAGGCGUGGAGGAGCAGCUAGGACGUUCAACAACAGCAGGAGGUCCAGUCCAACUCGAGUCCGAAUCAGCCUCGGCCUCCAGGACCAGCGAGCAAUAAAACGGACGCCCAGGACGCAUCCGGACUCCGUUUUCGACAAUUCACAUAUGGUUGGAAAGAUAAUUUCAUAAGGAAACCAAUGGCGUUGGUUUGAGGUCCAAAUUCCUUCUGAGUCAACGGGAAACGUCGAAACAAGUCAGCGUCCAGAAUCUGUCCCGGUGCUGCGUCACCGUUUUUGGUCCGUUGGGCCAUGUAUCGUGUUGGAGUCCAUUAGGGACGCGUCUAGGGGUCCUUGGCCGACCCUAAUCCUUUAUAUACAGUAGCCGCCGCCCUAAUUAGGGUUGGGUUUUGCUUAGAUUAUUCUGUCAAGAACAGUUUCGCCGUUUCGUCGGUUUGUGAGACCCCAACUCGUGAGAUUAAUCAUUCAUCUGCAAUUUGGUUGCAUUCUUCCUUGUUCUUGCUUGUGUUCUUCGAUUCGCAGGCAAGGAUUUUAGCCUUCUUGGCGAGGUCAACCGUGCAACGCCGGUUGAUAACCAGAGGAGACGUGGUGCUGCGAUUGCGGGGUUUCGGAUCGUGUUGUUCGGAAGCCGGAUCGACUUGUGUCUCGUUUCCACCAAAUCGAGAGUUACCAGAACCUUUCGGAAGAUCGGGAAUUCUUGUUCAUAUUAAGUGGUAUUCAGAGCUUCAGGUAUACCGUCAGGUUCAUAUCUACCCUUAGUUUUGAGUGUUUUCGCCUUCGUUCCAUAGUCCACUGCCAUAUCGUUUUUUUUUCCUGUCCUACAACCCUUCCGCGCCUUUAGCUUUUGCAUAUUUCAGUUUCAGAGUUCAUCGUGUUGAGUUUGUGUCCUGGUCAAGGUCUUGUUGCUGGUUAGGUCGUGUUAGAGUCCAGUUCGUGUGUUUUCCCCCACCGUUUCCAUCAAACCCUAGCCUCCGUCGCAUAUUUUCCCCACUUUCUUCCCGUUUUGUCCUCUAAUUCGGAGUCGUUUCUCAAAUCGGGCAUAACUUUCGCAUACGAACUCCGUUUUCAGAAAAGUCAUAGAGUUUUUCGCAUCGAAACAACGUUUCGGAUCCGUUCGUCCCCCGCUUUGCCGGGUUCGGCGAAAUCAGAAUUCCCAAAUUCGCCUCCGAAGUUUGAGUUUUCAAUUUCCAAAUAUUUUUCUCAUUUUACGGCUGAACUUCAGAAAAUUCUACAGGCCACGUCUUUCACUUGUUUAAGCUCAAAUUUUCUGUGGUUCCCUCUUGUGUGAUCCUAAGUGAAAAAAAAUAUCAAAAAAAUAAAAAGAAAAAGUCGAAUUUUCCCAAAAAAACAACGACAGCCCAAAAAAAUAGAAAAAAGAGAGGGGCAAAAGAGGAACAAUAUCUAGAGGAGCACAUAGAGAAGGGCAAAGUGAGCUGUGUUAGCGUGUGCUGUUUAGUUCUUUGUUUCUGUUGCUCUUGCUAUCCAUCAUACUUGUUUCUCCACCUUGUUUCACACACAUACUUGGUACUUGCAACACUUUAGGCCAGCAACAAGAACAAGUACUUGGGACUAUAAUUCAGCAUUACUAUCUGUUUCUGAUUUGUGUUCCACAUAUACAUAUUUGUUCUCUUUGUGUGCCUUCCAAGCCCCACAGAUUCUUCUGGACAGCACUGGUUUGCAUCCCUGCAAUCGCUCGCACGCCUUCCAGGUAUCCUUUGCUUUGCUGGUAAGAACCCUGGUAAGAGCUUGGUUAGGUGUCUACCUUUGCUGAUCUUGAUUGAGAGGCACCACUCCACCUUUGUAGUACGAUUAUUAGGGAUAACCUUCACUGUUUGUUGUUGUGUUUGUUUCCACAAUGUCAGUUGAAGGAGAUAAAACGCCAAAGGACUUCAAGGAGUGUGUCAGCCAAGAGCAGCUACAAGCUGUUGUAGACAAUGCUCA